rnacentral:sRNA from 1 species
GCACCAAUAUGGCCUUUGGGAAGGUGACAGAGGAGACUGUCUACACCUGCACCGGGCACCCGCUCAAGUCAGACAUUGCCAACAUCCUGGACUGGAUGUUGAAUCGAGAUUUCACCACAGCCUACAGAAAUAUUACAGAAUUGAAAACUCUGAAGGGGUUGGCACUGCAUGAUAUCCUGACAGAGAUACACUUGUUUGUGCAUAGAGUUGACUUUCCAUCUUCAGUUCGAAUACAUUUAUUGACCAAAAUGGCAGACAUUGAGUACAGGCUUUCUGUUGGCACCAACGAGAAGAUCCAGCUGAGCUCCCUCAUUGCUGCAUUUCAAGUCACCAGAGACCUGAUUGUUGCAGAGGCCUAGAUGCUCUGAGGGCCGUUCACAAUUCUCAGGGCUCAGCAGUGACGGGAGAACAGAGGACAGUUCCAGGAUAAACUGCUGCCUGGGGCUGUGGGAUGAAUCAGUCACCCCGAAUCUUGGAAAAAACCCCUUCCAGGAGAGGAUGGGCAGGCAUUUAAAAAGUACCGUUUUUGUGGUUGUUUGGAGCAGGGAUGUACAAAAUAAUUUUAAUGUAUUAACUCAUACUGCCUGUCUUUUAUAGGGGAAAAAAAUAACCUUUUUUAUUUUAAAGUUAUAAGGUUUUUACCUUUUAGUUGCUUGGAUGACAGGGAAUUAGCCUACCCCAUUUUGGUCUGGAACAGAAGACUUUCAAAUUUAAUAUGGUCCAAGUGUCUUCCUACUCAAGGCAAGAUCAUGCUCUGUCAGUCACCCAGGCUGGAAUACCGUGACACGAUCGUGGCUCGCUACAGCCUCUGUGUCCCAGGCUCGAGCAGUUCUCCCACCUCAGCCUCCUGAGUAGCCGGAACCACAGCCUCUCAUUUUGAAAAGACAUGUUUUUCUUCAAGCAACAAAGGUGGUAGAGGAAAUUCCUCAACUUUCUCAACGAGUCAUGUAACGUUACACUGGCCUCCAUAAAGCACCGAUUAAGAAAGCUAAAGAAUAAGAUGUUGUAUUUCUUUUAAAAUAAUUUAAAAUAUAUUAAAUUUUCCUAAGGCAG